rnacentral:rRNA from 1 species
AGUAAUGUCUGGGAAAUUGCCUGAUGGAGGGGGAUAACUGCUGGAAACGGUAGCUAAUACCGCAUAACAUCGCAAGACCAAAGAGGGGACCUUCGGGCCUCUUGCCAUCGGAUGUGCCCAGAUGGGAUUAGCUAGUAGGUGGGGUAACGGCUCACCUAGGCGACGAUCCCUAGCUGGUCUGAGAGGAUGACCAGCCACACUGGAACUGAGACACGGUCCAG